AUAGAAUGGAUAAAAUCUGGUAAUUGACGGAGCAAGUAGAGAUGUCAACGUGUCGGAUUCGGAACGGAUUUUUGAAAACCUGAAUCCGAACCCGAAUCCGAACCCGAUGGAUUUUAAAAAUCCAUAUCCAAACCCGAAUCCGACCAAAAAUUCGAAACCCGAACCCGAACCCGAACCCGAACCCGAACCUAAAAAUUUGAACCCGAAAUAAUUAUUUCUUUUUUCAAUAUUUCAAAAUAUAUUAUAUUAAAUCUAAAUUUUUAAAAUAUAAAUUCAAAUAUAACAUCAAAUUUUUAUGUAUAUAUUAUAUAUAAUACAAAAUAAAUUUGGAUUCGGAUUCGGGUCGGGUACAAUCAAAAUUCAUAUUCGAAUUCAUAUCCGUCGGAUUUCUAUUUUUGAUAUCCAUAUCCGAAUCCAUAUUCAUAUCCAUCGGAUAUAUCCGUUUCAUUCGGGUUCGAAUUCGGAUAAAAUUUCGGGUAUUCAUAUCCAUUGACAUCCCUAGCAGCAACAAGUAUGGAAGGCUAUACAAUUUUUUAUAACUAAGGUAGAGAGCCCUAUAUUUGUUUGCUUUUACAUCGAUCCUAUGAUCAAGAUUAAUUUUCAUUUGAUCAUACAAGUCCACUUUUGUAAUUAAGGUUUAAUUUGGACUUUUUAUUUUAUAUAAUUUUUUUUAAAAUAGUUAGGAAUGUGUGAGGGUUGAUUAAUUAAUGAAAAAAAAGAUAAAAAAAAACAUGUUGAAUAUGUGAUGAUUUAACGUCCCAUAGAAGAGUUUACUACACUUAAUAAUUAUUUUAUUAUUUUAUCACACUGUAAGGAACUUAAAUUAACAGAAUUGUAAAAACAACACAAAGUCCACAAAUCAACUAAAAAUACACUAAAUAAGAUUUAAAAAAUUAAAUUUUUAACUAAUUUUGAAAAAUUACACUUCCCUUACGUCUAUAAAUAUGAUGGCGGUGAGCACAUGUUAACUCAAGAAACAAAUCAACUUCAGUAAAAAUGAUUUCUCUCUCCAGUUGGCG
rnacentral:lncRNA from 1 species